UGCUGAUGAGUCCCACAAUAGGACGAAACGGUCGUCCA
rnacentral:hammerhead_ribozyme from 1 species